rfam:Pan troglodytes isolate Yerkes chimp pedigree #C0471 (Clint) chromosome 1, whole genome shotgun sequence.
AUGAUCUGAGGAUCUUGUUGAAAUGGAGAUUCUGAUUUAGUAGGUCUGGAGUAGGACCUGAAAUUCUGCAUUUCCAACAAGCUCUCAAGUCAUGCUGG